CGAGGCCGCUCGGCCUCGGCCGGCGCUCACCACCGCGCGCGUCCUCGUCCACUCCGCUACCAAUCGCUCGAGCGCGAGUAUGACCGCUCGUACGCUCCGCCGCCGCCCCCCGACGACGACUACUACCGCCGCGAGCAACCGCCCGGUAUGUUCCUGGGAGAGCUGCAAUCUCAGAAUUCCGAUCUGCACCGGGAGCUGGGGAACCUUAAGAAAGAACUGGAAUUGACCAAUCAGAAACUCGGCUCCAGCAUGCACAGCAUUAAGACCUUCUGGAGCCCUGAACUGAAGAAGGAGCGGGCGUUGAGGAAAGAGGAGAGCGCUAAGUACAGCCUUAUAAACGACCAACUAAAACUGCUCAACCAGGAGAACCAGAAACAAGCGAUGCUCGUACGACAACUGGAAGAAGAACUAAGACUGCGCAUGCGUCAGCCCGCUCCCGAAUUACAACAACAGCUGGAAGCCUUGUUUUCUGAAAAUGAACAUCUACAAAGAGAGAUAGCAAUAUUGAGAGAUACAAUAAAGGAACUAGAAUUGAGGAUCGAAACACAGAAACAAACACUCCAAGCCAGGGAUGAGAGCAUCAAAAAAUUACUUGAAAUGCUCCAAAACAAGGGGAUGGGUAAAGAAGAAGAGCGUCAAAUGUUCCAACAGAUGCAAGCGAUGGCGCAAAAACAGGAGCUCAAGGCGACGGCGGACACGCUGCGGGCGCUGCAGGUGCAGCUGGAGCGCGCGCUGGCCGCGGCCGGCCUGCCGGGCGGCAGCGCGGGCGCCACGCUCACGGCGGUGCUCGAGACCAAGGAAGCGCGCAUCGCCACGCUCGAGCGGCAGGUCGCGUUGCUCGAAGGCGAGCUGGCCGCGCUCGUGUCGCCGCCGCCGCCCUCGCUCGCGCCCUCGCACGCCUCGCUUUACGAUAAGGCCGACCCUCCCUUCAAGAGACAACUGGACGAGUUCCGGUUGGAGAUCCAGCGGCGAGAUCAGGAGAUCCUGGCGAUGGCCGCCAAGAUGAAGGCCUUGGAAGAGCAGCACCAGGACUACCAGCGGCACAUUGCCGUGCUAAAGGAAUCAUUGUGCGCCAAAGAAGAACAUUACAGUAUGCUGCAGACCGACACAAAGAACUACUACCAUGCACAGGUGGAAGAACUGAAAGCCCGGCUUGAUGAGAAGAGUAGGCUGGUGGAGAAGAAAACUGCGGCUGCACUGUCAGCCACACACGAACUCGCAGAGCUCAGAGACCACUCCGAGAUCAAGGACAGGAAGAUCAACGUGUUGCAGCGCAAGAUUGAAAAUCUGGAAGAUCUGCUUAAAGAAAAAGAUAAUCAAGUUGAUAUGGCGAGAGCCAGACUGAAUGCCAUGCAAGCCCACCACUGUUCUUCUGAAGGUGCUCUCUCAUCGCUCGAAGAAGUAAUCGGAGACAAAGAGAAACAAAUACAGCAGUUGAGAGAGCAGAGAGAUCGAGCUGAACACGAAAAGAACGAAGAAAGAGAACUGCACGAACGAGAAAUAGCCGAAUAUAAAAUGAAACUCCAUGCGCUUGAGAGCGAAGUAGAAAAACUUGGUGCUAGACUCGAAAGAGCUCAAGCCGAGAAAGAUCGACUUGAGGCUAAGUUAGAAAGCUCACAGUCUGAACUGGGUAAGUCUAAAGCAGAGCUGGACAAGGCUGCCAGCGAGGUUGGCAGGUCUGGCGCUGAUUGGGAGGCAGCUAAACAGCGCUUGGCAAGACUUGAGCUUGAGAAUGAAAGACUCAAACAUGAGCUGGAGCGGUCUCAGACAACGUUCGGCAGGAGCACUUUAACAACGUCACAGGAGUUGGACAGAGUGCAAGAGAAGGCUGAUAAGAGUGCAGCAGAGUUGCGACGAACUCUGGCGGAACUGAGAGUGACUCAGGCAGAUGCUGAGAGGGCUAGAUCUGAGGCCAGUGCGCUGCAGGACAAACUGGAGAAGUCACAGGGUGAAGUGUAUCGUCUGAAGGCUAAGCUUGAAAAUGCACAAACAGAACAGGAUAGCUUGAAGGAAGAAUACGAUCGGGUGCAAUCUUCGGUAAGUCGUCUCCAUUCUGAGCGAGAUAAGGCUGUGGCAGAGUUGGAUAAAGCUAGAGAGGAAUUAGAACGUACUCAGGCCACUCUGGGCAAGGCUCAGUUGCAACAGGACAAACUCCAAGCCUCGCUGGACGCCGCUCACUCUGAGAUCGAUAAGCUGCAAGAGAAAUUGGACAAAGCUGCUGCUGAAGUCAGAAAGUGUCAAGUGGACCGAGAGAAGCAGGCGUAUGACUUCGAGUCGCUGCAAUCACAGCUGGACAAGGCGCUGGGCAUGUCAGCUCGCUUCGGCAAGGAGAGAGACACGGCGCAGCUCGAGGCUGAUCGGUUCCGAGACAAGUAUGAGAAGUCACAGGCUCUAGUAACUCGUAUCCAGAAAGAACGUGAUGCAGCACUAGCAGAGGCUGCAAGCUGCCGCGAGAGAGCUGAAGCUGCAGCGGCUGCAGCCAACAGAGCAGCCAGGGACCGUGACAGCGCCACCACCGAGCUGGACGUCCUUAGAGAACGAUGGGAGAAGGCACACCAGCAGCACCAGAAACUCACGAUGGAACGAGACGAUGCCCUAACAGAGCUGGAAAUAUUGAAAGAAAAGCUAGACAAAGCCCUCUACUCCACACAAAAAACGAUCGAAGAAAAGGAAACCGCCCACAAAGAAUACGAGAAAAUGCUUGAGAAGUAUGACAGGUCCCAAAAUGAAAUCUACCGACUUCAGAACAAGAUAGAUAUACUCGAAGCAGACAAAGAUCGACUUGAAAUGGAGUUCGAAAAGCAUGCGCAUAUUGCGACGAAAGCAAGAGAAGAACAACGCAAGACACAAGAUGAACUCGCUAGAUUACAAGAAAUGUACGAUAGGGCGUCUCUUCAACUUGGUAGGACUAAAGAACAGGAAGAAAAAGCCAAGGAAGACAUGGAUAGGUUAAGUGUCGACAUUGAAAUGGUACGAGAUCGUUACGAAAAGAGCCAGAUCGAGCUUAGAAGGUAUCAGGCCGAGAAGGAGAAGUUAGUCGCAGACAACGAACGGCUUCAAUUCGAAUAUGACAGAGCAAUGACACAGUGUGGCAAGGCGCAGGCUUCUAACGAAAAAACACAGGAAGAAAUGGCUAGAGUGCAAGUAGAACUUGAGAAAAUGUAUGACAAGCAUGACAAAGUAGCGGCUGAACUGAGGAGAGUUCAAGCCGAACUGGAUAAGGUGAAGCAAGAUGCGAGCGGGGCCAGAGAAGAAGCUGAGAGAUACGCGGCACGAUAUGGGAAGUACCACGACACUAAGGAAGAACACGAGAGGACUAAGUUGGAGGUGGAACGACUGCGUGCGCGGUUAGAGAAGACCACAAUAGACCUGGAGCGAGCGCGCAAGGCUGAGGAGGAAGCAUCCCGUCUACGUUCGGAGCUCGAACGCCACGAAGCCGUCCGAGGUAAAUACCAAUUCGAACAGGACAAAUGGACUAAUGAACUAAACAGAGUGCAGGCGGAACUCGACAAGCAACACGAGCGCUACGAGGCAGCACAGGCAGAUAUUCAGCGCCUGCAGGCUGAGAAGGAGCAGGCAGAGACGAAACUACACGAGAUGAACAUACAGCUAGAGCUAUCCAAGAGCGAAGUGACCAAGUUGAACGCGGCAUUAGAAAAGCAACGAACAGAACUAGAACGUGCUCAUAUUGAGUGCGAGAAAUUCAGGGAUCGGUGUGAAAAACUUAAACUGCGAUCAGAACAGCUGGACAAAGAUAACGAACGGCUUAAAGGAGAACUGCAACAGAUUGAAAGGAUGAAACUGCAAGCGGUUGCAGGAGACAAAGCGAGGACCGAAGACAGGCUUGAAAUCGAGCGUCUUCGUGACAAGCUUGAAAAGGCAAUACAAGCAAGAGAUUCUACCGAAAUGGAAGCUGGCCGCUUAGCGAAGGAACUAGAGAAAUCUCAGAUGCAUCUUUCGAAGUACCAGGAGACCAACGAGUCGACGCGUGUCGAAUACGAAAGGAUGACGAAUGAACUUGGUAGAAUGCACGAACGUCUCGAGCGUACCAUCUUAGAGAUGAGACAUGUAGAACAGGAGAGAGAUGCAUUGUUACAAGAGAUACAUAAUAUGAGAUUCAACGUAGACCAACAACAGAGAACGCUGGAUCACCGCACACAGGAAACUUUAGUAAAACUACAGCAAGAACUCGCUCAAUCUGUUCGCGACAGAGAGAAGAUGGCUUCUAUAUUAGAACAGAGAGACAAACAGGCAGAUGCUAUAGAAAAACAGAUAGUAAAACUAGAAGCCGAUACAAAACAGCUUACAAUCGAGCGCGACCAAUUAGUAGCACAGCUAGAAAAAUCUCAAGACAUGCUUGUGAACUUCCAACGAGAAUUGAACGCAUCGGAGGCCGAGUUACAGAAGCAACGCGAGGAAGUGCGUAAAGUUAAAGAAGAACAACGAAAGAUGGCACAGGACUCUGGUGGCGCCAAGAGCGUGAUUGAAAGUCGCGACAGAGAGAUCGCUAAGCUGCAGCAGCAGGUGCAAGCUGUGUCUAAAGAAAAAGAGACGAUCAGACAGAGAGCUGAAAAGGCCGAGAAAGAAGCGCAGAAGGUCGGAGAGAUUGAGAAAUGGCGCGCCGCUGUGGAGCAGGAGAAGGCGAAGACGGCUGCAGCGGAGCGCGCGCUGGCGGAGUGCCAGUCGCGGCUGCAGCACUUGGAGAAGCAGGUGCAGGCGGGCGCUCGCGGCGGGGCCGACGCACUGGCCGCCGCGCAGGCCGACGCCCGCGCGCACCAGGUCGAGCGCGAGCGCUGCCAGGCGCAGCUCGAGAUGCUCGUCCAAGAAUUGGAGAAGAGCCAGCUCGAUCUACGAGAAGCGACGAAGAAGCUUCAAGCUGCGGGCGCGCAAAACGCCAAAGCUGGGGAAGACACAGCCCAAGCUAAGAAGCAACUGCAAGAGGAAUUUAAAAAGUUGGACGACGCGAGGAGACAGUUCGAGGAGCAGAGGAGGAUGGUGGAGAACAAACGGAAAGACGUGGAGGAGAAGGAGAAAGCGUUGGCGGAGUUAGAUCGACAGCUGAAGAAGAGAAAAGAGCAAAUGGACCAAAUGGAAGCAUCUUUGAGGAAGGCCGGCGGCAGCACAGCGGCGGCAUCAGAGCUGAACCGCAAGCUGUCAGAAUCGCAGAAGGACGCGGACGGGCUGAAGCAACAGCUGGAGCAGACUAAGGAGGAGGCUGCGCGCCUCACGGCGGAGACCGAGCGCCUGCUGCAACUCGUGCAGAUGUCGCAGGAGGAACAGGCGCAGAAAGAGAAGCAGAUCAUCGAACUGCAACAAUCUGUUAGAAAUCUUCAAGCCAAACUGAAAAGUCAGCAGCAAGCACAAGCACAAAGAGAAGAGGAACUGACGCGCGCGCGACAGAGCGAGCUAGCAGCCAUGAGAGAGCUGGAGAGCACUCUCACACAGAAAGACGUGCUCACAGCUAAGUUGGAAGAGAGCAAAAUGAAAGUGAUAGACUUAGAGAUAGAGCUGAACGAAUCAUCGCUUAUAUUAUCAGAAGUACUCAAAAUGCCAGACGGGCCAGAUAUGAAUAACAUUAAACGAAGUAAAAGCUUUUUCGAGUUGCAAAAGAGUGGUAAGGUAGUAGGUAGGCUAGACAAAGGUAGACUGAGCAGGAGCGACAACGAGCUAGACAUGAUGCACUGUAGAGACAAGAAGAGAGAGACACCGAACAUUAGUAAAUUGUCGAGGAAAAUAUCGGAGUUGACGAAAGAAAUGGCAAUAAAGAACUCAAAACUAAUAGAACAGCAAAGAUGUAUAUCAAUACUAGAGGAAGCACUGAGGGAGAAUAACAAUAUAGCCGAGUUUGAACAGUUGCUGGCAGUUGUACGAAGUAAAGAUGAGAGGAUCAAUGAGCUGGAACAGAUUGUGAACAAGAACAGCGUGUCGAACCCAAGCGAUGGCAAGGACAAGAGAAUAUUGGAACUAGAGGACGCUUUGAAGGAAUCAUUCUUGAUAGCAGCGGAGAGAGAGAAAAUAUUCUAUGAAGAAGAACAGAGAAGAAUUGAAACAUUACGGAGGAUGGGUAAGAUGGAGCAACGAAUCCGUUCCCUGCAGAACGCUUCAGCGAUGAAUUGCGAGACAUGUUCCUCAGUGCUAAAGCGCUUGAAGCGGCUGGAAGACUCACUGCAACACUGUCAGACCAACAGGGAACAUGUACUGCGGCAAUUGUCUCACGUCGUCCAAGACGUGCUAGAAGGUUUAAUCAGCGAGAAAGAUUCUCUAAUAGCCGAACUGGAGGUAAAGGGAGUACUCGACGAGAGUGAGACCGCACGAUGUGACACGCUUAAGACAGAGCGAGAUAGACUGCUCAAUAGGCUUAAGACGGAGAACGAGCGAAUACUGGAAUUGGAGCAGUGGACGGAGCCAGUGUCAGCAGCGCCCGAGGGCUCCCUGCCGGUAGACCUGACCCUGACGGACGAGCUGCUGCAAGCCUGUGACGACAAUGUAAUUGUUUGGGUAUAGUCUACAUCUAUUGAGAAUGCGGGUGGUACGCAUGGAGUGACGCCGGUUAACUUAUGGUUUCGACUUCACCUUGGUUAGUAUGCUAGCUAGGAUCAAUCUUGGUAGACUGUCCUGUCUUCAUACUUCUUCUUUCUUCUCCUGUGUAAGUAGCACUCUUAUAUCCUCUAUAUUGUUACCUUUAUCAGUUUUGUGCUGUUCUUCUACGUCUUUCUAGAGUUUUAUAUCUAGUCUUGUAAGUUCAGUCUCCAAAAUUGAUCUAGCUUCAAGCUUAACUAUACUUCUUCCAAUAAUUGUUUAACGUUUUCAAGAUUUCACUUUACAAACGCUUCGAAUAUUUCUGCUUGGAGUUCCUAUUAAACUCAGGUGUGAAAAACGCUUAAAGACUAAUAUAAAAUGCCCACCAAAAAUGGUGACCACACGCAGCUAAAAUCCGUUUUUACAAAACAAAACUUCGAAUUUCGCAGAGCCAAAAAUUUGAGAAACAACUAAUUGGAAUUUAAAAUUGAGAAUUUUAAUGAAAUAUAAAAUUUGCUCAAUUUAUUAAAAAGUUAUGCGAGUGUGUUUGCGUGUGUGCUUUAAUUAAACAAGUCGUGUUGAUAACAUGAGAAGGAUUGGGAAUGAUAUGACAUUGAGCUGGUCAAUACUGGAGGUGGUAAAGUGGAUAGAAGACAUAUAAGGACUAGAAACGUAUGCAAUUACUAGAAUGUUAAUACAAACUUAGGGAGGAACUGUAAGGUUACUAGAUGAACUUAGAGCAGCUAUAAAAUGCCUAAUAUUUUAAUGUAAGUAUGUCGUCUUAGAUAAGGAAGUGGUUAUAGUCAAAUUAUACGUUAUAAGUUGUGUAAUAAGAUUUAAAAUUGAAUGCAGUUACAAUUAGCGAUGGAAAUUAAGAACAGAAUGUUGAUGCUAAUCAGAAUGGUAUCUUUUUUAAAAUAAACUUUGAUCUAAGACUAUAAAAUAUGGAACAGUUUGACAAAUACCAUUUGCAGUGUUAAUGGCAAAACAUCCAACUUAAAACUUUAAGUUAAAAAAUAAACACGAUCGAUGGAUAGAUAAAGUAAAUGAGUAACUACGAGUGUAAAGGAUUCGAAAUUCUAUGUAAGAGGCAAUAGAGUAAAGUUUGCAAUGAUUAGCAUAACAUGAACUGUUCUAGUACUUUCCGUAGCUAAUUGUAACGUCGAAGGAGCACCAGCUAAUGUUUUACUAAUGACCACAGGAGGAGGACAUCCCAGCAACUGUACUGUAACUCCAAACGCAGCUAAGUCAAAACGUAACUCUGUUUGUGGCCUUAGCCAUCAUCACCGCACUAGUCACCCAUCACUGCUACCUUACCGACUCAUUCUCGCUUAUCACUCAAGCAUCUAAUGCCAAAUACUUAUGAUAUUUCGACAAAAUAACGUAACGCCAGCUUGCAACGACUUCCGUCAAAGAACUAAAACUAAAACCGAAUUUUUAUACCAAAGAAUGUCAAUUUUUUAUGUAAAUAAAGUUUAAGUUUUACUUUUUAUUUGUUACUA